GCUGGACGGUGGCGCAGUUGGUAGCAAUGUUGCCUUGCAGUGAGAAGGUCCUGGGUUCAAUUCCCAGCUUUCUGCA